rnacentral:rRNA from 1 species
AAAUACUCCUGACUGACCGAUAGUGAACCAGUACCGUGAGGGAAAGGCGAAAAGAACCCCGGCGAGGGGAGUGAAAAAGAACCUGAAACCGUGUACGUACAAGCAGUGGGAGCACAGGUUUACCUGUGUGACUGCGUACCUUUUGUAUAAUGGGUCAGCGACUUAUAUUCUGUAGCAAGGUUAACCGUAUAGGGGAGCCGUAGGGAAACCGAGUCUUAACCGGGCGUUAAGUUGCAGGGUAUAGACCCGAAACCCGGUGAUCUAGCCAUGGGCAGGUUGAAGGUUGGGUAACACUAACUGGAGGACCGAACCGACUAAUGUUGAAAAAUUAGCGGAUGACCUGUGGCUGGGGGUGAAAGGCCAAUCAAACCGGGAGAUAGCUGGUUCUCCCCGAAAGCUAUUUAGGUAGCGCCUCGUGAAUUCAUCUCCGGGGGUAGAGCACUGUUUCGGCUAGGGGGCCAUCCCGGCUUACCAACCCGAUGCAAACUGCGAAUACCGGAGAAUGUUAUCACGGGAGACACACGGCGGGUGCUAACGUCCGUCGUGAAGAGGGAAACAACCCAGACCGCCAGCUAAGGUCCCAAAGUCAUGGUUAAGUGGGAAACGAUGUGGGAAGGCCCAGACAGCCAGGAUGUUGGCUUAGAAGCAGCCAUCAUUUAAAGAAAGCGUAAUAGCUCACUGGUCGAGUCGGCCUGCGCGGAAGAUGUAACGGGGCUAAACCAUGCACCGAAGCUGCGGCAGCGAACGUAUCACCCAAGACAACUUUACGGAGUUGACGAUUGACGGAGCGAAGCGACGUCAAAGCGUUCAUUAAAGUCGAGUUGGCUUAGGGAUACGUUCGUUGGGUAGGGGAGCGUUCUGUAAGCCUGUGAAGGUGUGUCGUGAGGCAUGCUGGAGGUAUCAGAAGUGCGAAUGCUGACAUAAGUAACGAUAAAGCGGGUGAAAAGCCCGCUCGCCGGAAGACCAAGGGUUCCUGUCCAACGUUAAUCGGGGCAGGGUGAGUCGACCCCUAAGGCGAGGCCGAAAGGCGUAGUCGAUGGGAAACGGGUUAAUAUUCCCGUACUUGGUGUUACUGCGAAGGGGGGACGGAGAAGGCUAUGUUGGCCGGGCGACGGUUGUCCCGGUUUAAGCGUGUAGGUGUGUGUUCCAGGUAAAUCCGGUU